AAGUAUAGAAGUAAUAAAUUACAUUUAGUUUCGACCUAAAAAUAAGAAUUAUAUUCCUUGCUUA
rnacentral:tRNA from 1 species